GCAAGGUUGAAACUCAAAGGAAUUGACGGGUCUCCGCACAAGCGGUGGAGCAUGUUGUUUAAUUCGAAGAUACGCGAAGAACCUUACCAGGUCUUGACAUCUUCUUGAUCACUCUAGAGAUAGAGUUUCCCUUCGGGGCAAGAAUGACAGGUGGUGCAUGGUUGUCGUCAGCUCGUGUCGUGAGAUGUUGGGUUAAGUCCCGCAACGAGCGCAACCCCUAUUGAUAGUUGCUAACAUUAAGUUGAGGACUCUAUCGAGACUGCCAGUGAUAAACUGGAGGAAGGUGGGGAUGACGUCAAAUCAUCAUGCCCCUUAUGACCUGGGCUACAAACGCGCUACAAUGGCCAGUACAGAGAGUUGCCAAACCGUAAGGUGGAGCUAACCUUCAAAACUGGUCUCAGUUCGGAUUGAAGUCUGCAACUCGACUUCAUGAAGUUGGAAUCGCUAGUAAUCGUGGGUCAGAAUACCACGGUGAAUACGUUCUCGGAGAUUGUACACACCGCCCGUCAUACCAUGAAAGUUUGUAACACCCGAAGUGUGUGGCCUAACCAGCUUGCUGGAGGGAGCACCCUAAGGUGGGAUAGAUGAUUAGGGUAAAGUCGUAACAAGGUA
rnacentral:rRNA from 1 species